GACGAACGCUGGCGGCGUGCUUAACACAUGCAAGUCGAACGGAAAGGCCCUGCUUUUGUGGGGUGCUCGAGUGGCGAACGGGUGAGUAACACGUGAGUAACCUGCCCUUUACUUUGGGAUAACUUCAGGAAACUGGGGCUAAUACCGGAUAGGAGCUCCUGCUGCAUGGUGGGGGUUGGAAAGUUUCGGCGGUUGGGGAUGGACUCGCGGCUUAUAAGCUUGUUGGUGGGGUAGUGGCUUACCAAGGCUUUGACGGGUAGCCGGCCUGAGAGGGUGACCGGCCACAUUGGGACUGAGAUACGGCCCAGACUCCUACGGGAGGCAGCAGUGGGGAAUAUUGCACAAUGGGCGGAAGCCUGAUGCAGCAACGCCGCGUGCGGGAUGACGGCCUUCGGGUUGUAAACCGCUUUCGCCUGUGACGAAGCGUGAGUGACGGUAAUGGGUAAAGAAGCACCGGCUAACUACGUG
rnacentral:rRNA from 1 species